rnacentral:rRNA from 1 species
UUGAACGCUGGCGGCACGCCUAACACAUGCAAGUCGAGCGGCAGCGAGAGUAGUAGCAAUACUACUUGUCGGAGAGCGGCGGAACGGGUGAGUAACUAUGUAGGAAUCCUGCCUCUAGUCGGGGGACAACCUAAGGGAACUUAGCUAAUACCGCAUAAUAUCUGCCUUGAAGAGGGAGUAAAGCGUGGCUCGCAAGGGUGACACUAGGAGGAGGAGGCCCUGCAGUCCGAUUAGCUAGUUGGUGAGGUAAAGGCUCACCAAAGGCGAUGAUCGGUAGCCUGGUCUGAGAGGGACGGACCAGUCACACUGGGACUGAGACACGGCCCAGACUCCUACGGGAGGCAGCAGUGGGGAAUAUUGGACAAUGGGGCGCAACCCUGAUCCACGCGAUGCCGCGUGGGAUGAAGAAGGCCUUCGGGUUGUAAAGCCCUUUAGGCUGGAGACGAAGUGUACUCUGGCUGAAUAAUCCAGGUACAUUGACGGUACCGAGAGAAUAAGCACCGGCUAAACUCUGUGCCAGCAGCCGCGGUAAUACAGAGGGGGGCGAGCGUUAUUCGGAUUUACUGGGCGUAAAGGGCUGCGUAGGUGGUUGCUAUUAAGUCGUGACUGUGAAAGCCCUCGGGCUUAACCUAGGGAAGCGCAUUGCAAACUGGUAUGCACUAGAGUAUAGGAGAGGGAUGGUGGAAUUUCCGGUGUAGCGGUGAAAUGCGUAGAGAUCUGGAAGGAACGUCAACGUGGCGAAGGCAGCCAUCCUGGCCUUAAUACUGACAUUGAAGGCAGCGAAAGCAGUGGGGAGCGAACAGGGAUUAGAUACCCUGGUAGUCCCUGGCCUAAACGAUGAGGACUAAUGUGUGGUAGGGGAAUCCCUAUCAGUAUUGAAGCUAACGCGAUUAAGUCAUUCCGCCUGGGAAGUACGGUCGCAAGGCUUGAAACUCAAAGGAAUUGACGGGGGCCCGCACAAGCGGUGGAGCAUGUGGUUUAAUUCGACUACAACGCGAAGAACCUUACCUAGCCUUGACAUCCUAGGACAUCUGGCCUGAGAGGCUGGAGUUCCGAAAGGAACCUAGUAGACAGGUGCUGCAUGGCUGUCGUCAGCUCGUGUCUGUGAGAUGUUGGGUUAAGUCCCGUAACGAGCGCAACCCUUAUCCUUCUGUUGCCAUCAGGUUAAGCUUGGGGCACUCUGAAGAGACUGCCGGUGAUGAAACCGGAGGAAGGCUGGGGACGACGUCAAGUCAUCAUGGCCUUUAUGGUAUGGGGCCACACACGUGCUACAAUGGGCCGGUACAGAGACGUCGCGAUACCUGCGAAGGGGAGCCUAAUCUCGAGAAAGCCGGUCUCGUAGUCCGGAUUGAGGUCUGCAACUCGACUCCAUGAAGUUGGAAUCGCUAGUAAUCGCGAAUCAGCAUUGUCGCGGUGAAUACGUUCCCGGGCCUUGUACACACCGCCCGUCACGUCAUGGAAGUAGAUGGUACCUAGAAGCCAGGUAGUUAACCCGUAAGGGAGAGACGCUUGCCGACGGUAUGGAUCGUAUGACUGGGGACG